UACCAGCACCCUGAGUGGUCGGGACGAUUAUUGGGCCUAAAGCAUCCGUAGCCGGCCUUACAAGUCCUCCGUUAAAUCCAGCUGCUUAACAGAUGGGCUGCGGAGGAUACUAUAAGACUAGGAGGCAGGAGAGGCAAGCGGUACUCAGUGGGUAGGGGUAAAAUCCGUUGAUCCAUUGAAGACCACCAGUGGCGAAGGCGGCUUGCCAGAAUGCGCUCGACGGUGAGGGAUGAAAGCUGGGGGAGCAAACCGG
rnacentral:rRNA from 1 species